rnacentral:rRNA from 1 species
CAGUAGCCGCGGGAAUACGAAGGGGGCAAGCGUUGUUCGGAGUUACUGGGCGUAAAGGGCGCGUAGGCGGCCUGGAAAGUCAGAUGUGAAAGCCCUGGGCUUAACCCGGGAUGUGCAUUUGAUACUUCCAAGCUAGAAUCCGGGAGAGGUUGGUGGAGUUCCCAGCGUAGAGGUGAAAUUCGUAGAGAUUGGGAAGAACACCGGAGGCGAAGGCGGCCAACUGGUCCGGUAUUGACGCUGAGGCGCGAAAGCGUGGGGAGCAAACAGGAUUAGAUACCCGAGUAGUCCCUGUCUCUUAUAC